GUAGGGAAUAUUGGGCAAUGGGGGCAACCCUGACCCAGCAACGCCGCGUGAGGGAAGAAGGUUCUCUGGAUUGUAAACCUCUGUCCUAUGGGACGAAGAAGUGACGGUACCAUAGGAGGAAGCUCCGGCUAACUACGUGCCAGCAGCCGCGGUAAUACGUAGGGAGCGAGCGUUGUCCGGAAUUACUGGGCGUAAAGGGUGCGUAGGCGGCCUGGUAAGUCAGAUGUGAAAUACCCGUGCUCAACAUGGGGGGUGCAUCUGAUACUGUUAGGCUUGAGUGCAGGAGAGGAAAGCGGAAUUCCUAGUGUAGCGGUGAAAUGCGUAGAUAUUAGGAGGAACACCAGUGGCGAAGGCGGCUUUCUGGACUGUAACUGACGCUGAGGCACGAAAGCGUGGGGAGCAAACAGGAUUAGAAACCCCAGUAGUCC
rnacentral:rRNA from 1 species